CAGUAGGGAGGAAGGUAGUGUAGUUAACACCUGCAUUAUUUGACGUUACCUACAGAAGAAGCACCGGCUAACUCCGUGCCAGCAGCCGCGGUAAUACGGAGGGUGCGAGCGUUAAUCGGAAUUACUGGGCGUAAAGCGCAUGCAGGCGGCUGUUAAGUCAGAUGUGAAAGACCCGGGGCGUUAACCUCGGAAUUGCAUUUGAAACUAGGCAGGCUAGAGUCUUGUAGAGGGGGGUAGGAAUUUCAGGUGUAGCGGUGAAAUAGCGUAGAGAUCUGAAGGAAUACCAGUGGCGAAGGCGGCCCCCUCGGACAAAGACUGACGCUCAGAUGCGAAAGCGUGGGGAGCAAACAGGAUUAGAUACCCCUGGUAG
rnacentral:rRNA from 1 species